UACGGGGGGUGCAAGCGUUGUUCGGAUUUAUUGGGCGUAAAGCGCGUGUAGGCGGUUUUAUAAGUCUGAUGUGAAAGCCCUGGGCUCAACCUGGGAAGUGCAUUGGAUACUGUAGGACUUGAAUACGGGAGAGGGCAGUGGAAUUCCUGGUGUAGGAGUGAAAUCCGUAGAUAUCAGGAGGAACACCGGUGGCGAAGGCGGCUGCCUGGACCGAUAUUGACGCUGAGACGCGAAAGCGUGGGUAGCAAACAGG
rnacentral:rRNA from 1 species